rnacentral:rRNA from 1 species
GAUGAACGCUGGCGGCGUGCCUAAUACAUGCAAGUCGAGCGAACAGACGAGGAGCUUGCUCCUCUGACGUUAGCGGCGGACGGGUGAGUAACACGUGGAUAACCUACCUAUAAGACUGGGAUAACUUCGGGAAACCGGAGCUAAUACCGGAUAAUAUAUUGAACCGCAUGGUUCAAUAGUGAAAGACGGUUUUGCUGUCACUUAUAGAUGGAUCCGCGCCGCAUUAGCUAGUUGGUAAGGUAACGGCUUACCAAGGCGACGAUGCGUAGCCGACCUGAGAGGGUGAUCGGCCACACUGGAACGGAGACACGGUCCAGACUCCUACGGGAGGCAGCAGUAGGGAAUCUUCCGCAAUGGGCGAAAGCAUGACGGAGCAACGCCGCGUGAGUGAUGAAGGUCUUCGGAUCGUAAAACUCUGUUAUUAGGGAAGAACAAAUGUGUAAGUAACUAUGCACGUCUUGACGGUACCUAAUCAGAAAGCCACGGCUAACUACGUG